CAGGGGUGUCAAACAUGCGGCCCCCCCAGAUGAUGUUGAACUACAACUCUCAUGAUUCCCUGGCUAUCUGUUUCAUUGAAAGAAUCAUGGGAGUUGUAGUUCAGCAACAUCUGGGGGGCCGCAUGUUUGACACCCCUG